GACGAACGCUGGCGGCGUGCUUAACACAUGCAAGUCGAACGGAAAGGCCCUGCUUUUGUGGGGUGCUCGAGUGGCGAACGGGUGAGUAACACGUGAGUAACCUGCCCUUGACUUUGGGAUAACUUCAGGAAACUGGGGCUAAUACCGGAUAGGAGCUCCUGCUGCAUGGUGGGGGUUGGAAAGUUUCGGCGGUUGGGGAUGGACUCGCGGCUUAUCAGCUUGUUGGUGGGGUAGUGGCUUACCAAGGCUUUGACGGGUAGCCGGCCUGAGAGGGUGACCGGCGACAUUGGGACUGAGAGACGGCCCAGACUCCUACGGGAGGCAGCAGUGGGGAAGAUUGCACAAUGGGCGGAAGCCUGAGGCAGCAACGCCGCGUGCGGGAUGACGGCCUUCGGGGUGUAAACCGCUUUCGCCUGUGACGAAGCGUGAGUGACGGUAAUGGGUAAAGAAGCACCGGGUAACUACGUG
rnacentral:rRNA from 1 species